rnacentral:rRNA from 1 species
CAGCCGCCGCGGUAACACGAAGGGUGCAAGCGUUAAUCGGAAUUACUGGGCGUAAAGCGUGCGUAGGCGGUGAGUUAAGUCUGCUGUGAAAUCCCCGGGCUCAACCUGGGAAUGGCAGUGGAUACUGGCUCGCUAGAGUGUGUCAGAGGAUGGUGGAAUUCCCGGUGUAGCGGUGAAAUGCGUAGAGAUCGGGAGGAACAUCAGUGGCGAAGGCAGCCCCCUGGGCCAAUACUGACGCUCAUGCACGAAAGCGUGGGGAGCAAACAGGAUUAGAUACCCGUGUAGUCCCUGUCUCUUAUAC